rnacentral:rRNA from 1 species
AACGAACGCUGGCGGCAUGCCUAACACAUGCAAGUCGAACGAGACCUUCGGGUCUAGUGGCGCACGGGUGCGUAACGCGUGGGAACCUGCCCUUAGGUUCGGAAUAACUCUCCGAAAGGGGUGCUAAUACCGGAUAAUGUCUUCGGACCAAAGAUUUAUCGCCUUUGGAUGGGCCCGCGUUGGAUUAGCUGGUUGGUAGGGUAAAAGCCUACCAAGGCGACGAUCCAUAGCUGGUCUGAGAGGAUGAUCAGCCACACUGGGACUGAGACACGGCCCAGACUCCUACGGGAGGCAGCAGUGGGGAAUAUUGGACAAUGGGCGGAAGCCUGAUCCAGCAAUGCCGCGUGAGUGAUGAAGGCCUUAGGGUUGUAAAGCUCUUUUACCCGGGAUGAUAAUGACAGUACCGGGAGAAUAAGCUCCGGCUAACUCCGUG